rnacentral:rRNA from 1 species
CCAAUAGCGUAUAUUAAAGUUGUUGCAGUUAAAAAGCUCGUAGUUGAAUUUCGGGGUUCUACCGUUGGUCGGGCUAUUGUCUGUACUGGCGUGUAGAAUUUCUACCUUCUGGUGAACUAUCAUGUUAUUAAUUUAGCGUGGUAGGAAACCAGGACCUUUACCUUGAAAAAAUUAGAGUGUUCAGAGCAGGCUUAUGUCUGAAUACAUUAGCAUGGAAUAAUAAAAUAGGACGGUGGUCCUGUUUUGUUGGUUUCUGAAUCACCGUAAUGAUUAAUAGGGAUAGUUGGGGGCAUUAGUAUUCAAUUGUCAGAGGUAAAAUUCUUGGAUUUAUUGAAGACUAACUACUGCGAAAGCAUUUGCCAAGGAUGUUUUCAUUAAUCAAGAACGAAAGUUAGGGGAUCGAAGACGAUCAGAUACCGUCGUAGUCUUAACCAUAAACUAUGCCGACUAGGGAUCGGAUGAUGUUAAUUUUUUAAUGACUCAUUCGGCGCCUUAUG